UACGGGGGGAGCAAGCGUUGUUCGGAUUUACUGGGCGUAAAGGGCGCGUAGGCGGCCACCGCAAGUCAAUUGUGAAAUCUCCGGGCUUAACUCGGAAAGGUCAACUGAUACUGCGGGGCUAGAGUGCGGAAGGGGCAACUGGAAUUCUCGGUGUAGCGGUGAAAUGCGUAGAUAUCGAGAGGAACACCUGCGGCGAGGGCGGGUUGCUGGGCCGACACUGACGCUGAGGCGCGAAAGCCAGGGGAGCGAACGGG
rnacentral:rRNA from 1 species